rnacentral:rRNA from 1 species
GACAGAGGGUGCCAACGUUGUUCGGAAUUACUGGGCGUAAAGCGCGUGUAGGCGGCACCGCAAGUCGGGUGUGAAAGCCCCAGGCUCAACCUGGGAAGUGCAUUCGAUACUGCGGCGCUCGAGUUUCGGAGAGGGUGGUGGAACUCUCGGUGUAGAGGUGAAAUUCGUAGAUAUCGAGAAGAACACCGGUGGCGAAGGCGGCCACCUGGCCGAGAACUGACGCUGAGACGCGAAAGCGUGGGGAGCAAACAGG